rnacentral:rRNA from 1 species
GCCGAUCGCCUUGAGUUGAUAUGGCUCAGAAUAACGCUGGCGGCGUGCCUCAGACAUGCAAGUCGAACGCGAAAGGCCCCUUCGGGGGCCGAGUAGAGUGGCGCACGGGUGAGUAACACGUAGGUAAUCUACCUCUGGGUGGGGAAUAACGACCGGAAACGGUCGCUAAUACCGCAUAAUGCAGCGGCACCACAUGGUGACAGUUGUUAAAGCGGGGGAUCGCAAGACCUCGCGCCUAGAGAUGAGCCUGCGGCGGAUUAGCUAGUUGGCAGGGUAACGGCCUACCAAGGCGACGAUCCGUAGCCGGCCUGAGAGGGCGGACGGCCACACUGGCACUGACAUACGGGCCAGACUCCUACGGGAGGCAGCAGUCGGGAAUUUUGGGCAAUGGGCGAAAGCCUGACCCAGCAACGCCGCGUAAAGGAUGAAGCUUUUCGGAGUGUAAACUUCAUAAGAAUGGGACGAAUAAGGAGGGGUUAACACCCCCUUUGAUGACGGUACCAUUUGUAAGCUCCGGCUAACUCCGUGCCAGCAGCCGCGGUAAUACGGGGGGAGCAAGCGUUGUUCGGAUUUACUGGGCGUAAAGGGCGCGUAGGCGGCGCAACAAGUCACUUGUGAAAUCUCCGGGCUUAACCCGGAGCGGCCAAGUGAUACUGUCGUGCUAGAGUGCGGAAGGGGCUACUGGAAUUCUCGGUGUAGCGGUGAAAUGCGUAGAUAUCGAGAGGAACACCUGCGGCGAAAGCGGNUAGCUGGGGCG